rnacentral:rRNA from 1 species
GACGAACGCUGGCGGCGUGCUUAACACAUGCAAGUCGAACGGAAAGGCCCUGCUCUUGUGGGGUGCUCGAGUGGCGAACGGGUGAGUAACACGUGAGUAACCUGCCCUUGACUUUGGGAUAACUUCAGGAAACUGGGGCUAAUACCGGAUAGGAGCUCCUGCUGCAUGGUGGGGGUUGGAAAGUUUCGGCGGUUGGGGAUGGACUCGCGGCUUAUCAGCUUGUUGGUGGGGUAGUGGCUUACCAAGGCUUUGACGGGUAGCCGGCCUGAGAGGGUGACCGGCCACAUUGGGACUGAGAUACGGCCCAGACGCCUACGGGAGGCAGCAGUGGGGAAUAUUGCACAAUGGGCGGAAGCCUGAUGCAGCAACGCCGCGUGCGGGAUGACGGCCUUCGGGUUGUAAACCGCUUUCGCCUGUGACGAAACGUGAGUGACGGUAAUGGGUAAAGAAGCACCGGCUAACUACGUG